rnacentral:rRNA from 1 species
GUAGGGUGCGAGCGUUAAUCGGAAUUACUGGGCGUAAAGCGUGCGCAGGCGGUUUUGUAAGCCAGAUGUGAAAUCCCCGGGCUUAACCUGGGAAUGGCAUUUGGGACUGCAAGGCUUGAGUGCGGCAGAGGAGACUGGAAUUCCUGGUGUAGCAGUGAAAUGCGUAGAUAUCAGGAGGAAUACCGAUGGCGAAGGCAGGUCUCUGGGCUGACACUGACGCUCAUGCACGAAAGCGUGGGGAGCAAACAGGAUUAGAUACCCUGGUAGUCCACGCCCUAAACGAUGUCGACUGGUUGUUGGGGGUUUGACACUCUCAGUAACGAAGCUAACGCGUGAAGUCGACCGCCUGGGGAGUACGGCCGCAAGGUUA